UAUUUCAGGAAAUGCAGAAAUCGGGCUUCAGCCCUGCCAGCUUGACGUAUGUCUCUAUUUUAAUGGCAUGUAACCAUGCGGGACUCAUUGAAGAAGGUCGACAAUAUGUUAAAGAGAUGCAGACAUUGCAUGGUCUAAAACCUGAAUUGGAGCAUUAUGCAUGCGUGAUUGACAUGCUGGCUCGUGCUGGACAGUUUGAUGAUGCCCUAAAUCUCAUGGCUGAGAUGCCUAUGCAGCCAGAUACUCAAAUUUGGUGUUCGUUGCUCAAUUCAUGUAUAGUUCACGCCCAGUCAAAUCUUGGGAAGAAAUGUGCUAACAAGUUACUGGAAUUAGAACCAAAAAGAGCAGAAAUUUAUGUUUUAGUAUCCAAUUUUUUUGCUAGAUAUGGGGACUGGGACUCUGUUAGACAAGUGAGGGACAAGAUGAAGGAAUUAGGCUUGCAAAAAGAAAUUGGCUGCAGUCAGAUUGAAAUAGGAGGAAAAAGCUAUAACUUUGUUGUUGGCAAUAUGUUUUCCAAGCCAUAAGAGCUCUAGUGAAGUUUGAUGUGACCAAAUGGAAACAAGUGAAUUGGUUAACACCCGAGAUAUUUUUGAAGGGGUUUGUAGUGGAGAUAAAUUUCUCAGUUUUUCUAAUAAGUUGUUAAAACUGCAGGUUUCUGUUGUUGAGCUGUCAAGGCCAUCCGCGUCCUUACCGGAAAUUUUGAGCGGCAUAGGAAGCUAUUUAGCCGGAGCAGAUAGAACAUUAAAAGAGUUGCUAAAUGAUGUGGCAUCAUCUGAUGGGAUCCAAGCCCGUAUGGACGGGUCAUGUUUGAGAAAUUAGGAGGAGCCGCUUACACCAAUCCCCUGUUUAUGUUGAUAAAAGAUUGCCUCAGUUCCUUCUAAAGUCAAAGGCUGUAUGCUGUUGUAUCAGAAAUAUCUCAUUUUAUUUCUUACCUCUUUUCCUUGUAUUGAGUAUAGAACUUCCGAUAUGUUUUUGUUUUAAGUCUUGGGUUGGUGAGUAAGUGAAACAAAUGGAUAGGCGGUAACAAAAGAUUAAAAUUUCCUUACUUCCUUAAAGUUGAUAGUGCUAAAAAUAUAUUUGGCACUACCAAUACUUGUAAAAAUUAUUUGAUUCAUUAAAUUAAAUUGCAGUGGUUGCAGGUUGGUGUAUAUAUGAGCUCUUGCUGAUUUGAAUUCAGGAUGAGUGGUUCUCAACAAGGGUAUGGAGGUACCACACGAAUCAGUAUCAUGACAUUCUGUUCUGUACAACUACUGUAACUUUGAAACAAUUCCGCUUUGCACUUCCGUAUGAUUCAUCCUGUCUGAACAGAUAGAUCCAUGGUGCCAACGGCCAUGUAUAAAAUACAGAUUUAUAAUAUAGAAGUGGAACAUUCUCAUUAUAUGUUUCUCCAACUCCUUUCUUUUGGUAAAUGCAGUAGAAGAACUAUUGUUGCUUCAAGGCUCAAGCUUCGUGCAUACAGGUAGAGCUCGGUUUUUUUAGGAUUCCCACCUGGUGUUCUUUGAUAUCCACACGGGCCCAACAAAAUCUGAAUUCGCGCCCUGAAGUUCCACAUUGGGUGAUAAAUUGCUCCUUAUAAAAGGUGACUCCUUAUUGAGGGCUCGGGAUCCAAGACCUUUGGUUGAGGAUGAAGGAUUACUUAUUACUCCACUACACCUUUAUGAAUUAAGAGAAACUAGAAAGCUUUCAUAACAUGACAAAAGAGAACUAUCCUCCCACUCCCCUCUUCACAAUGAAAAUAAAAUAAAAUCCGCAACCACUACCUAGGGGUAGGGGUGUACAUGGCCGGGUUGGUUCAGGUUUUUCAAAUAUCAAAUCAAACCAUUUGUGUCAGAUUUUUGAAUUUAUUAACCAAACCAAUAAAACUCGGGUUUUUGAACCUCGGAUUUUUUCGAAUUUUUUUGGGUUUUUCGGGUUUUUCCAGUAAAGUAUUCAUACAAACAUAUAAUUUACUUGUACUUUAAAUAUUCUUUUAGUCGUACCAAAAUACAACUAUCUAAGGUGUUUUUUAAGAAAAUAACACAAAAUAUGAUAUGAUUAAUGACACUAAAAAAUCUAACAAAAAAAUAAUAAUGAAAUCGCAUAAAACAAAGGAAAAAUCACCCCAUAUACACAUUUAAGAGUCAAUAUUACAGGUUUUAAAUCUACUUUUAAAAAAUUCUUAGCUUAUAACAGUUUAAUUACGAGUUAUAACAUAUCACUAAUUAUUUAUAAAUUAAUUAAAUUUUACUUUAUUAAAUAAGUAUUUUUUUAUAAUUUUAUAUGAUUAUUAAAUUAUUUAAAUAAAGAAUACCCCAUAAUUAUCUCUUACACAAUUAUAUGGAUUUUACAUUGAUUACACUUCCUUAUUCAAUAUUACACUCAUAACCUCUCAUUAGUCAAUCCCACCACCCUUCCCCCACACCUAUCCAACUAUACACGCUAUCACCCCACUUUCACCUUCUUCUCUCCCAUUUUUCUCACCAGCCAACUACACUAACAUUCAAUCUUUCGUCUAUUUUUUUUCCCCAACAAAAUUAUGUUUAAGAAACCCAUUGAAACGCCUCGAAAGAGUCCCAAAUUGGGUGAAGGAACUUCUAAAGAUGAUGUUCAUGUUUCAAAUUUUAAUAUAUUAACUCAACCCCACCCCUCUCGCCUAAAAUUGUUGAAUAUCCGGCGAAUAUUCAAAAUUCGGCGACGGAUUGUUCAUAUAAGUUGAAGGAGCGACAGAGAGAAAAAAUGAAGAAAAAAAAAGGUCACCCCUGNNNNNNNNNNNNNNNNNNNNNNNNNNNNNNNNNNNNNNNNNNNNNNNNNNNNNNNNNNNNNNNNNNNNNNNNNNNNNNNNNNNNNNNNNNNNNNNNNNNNNNNNNNNNNNNNNNNNNNNNNNNNNNNNNNNNNNNNNNNNNNNNNNNNNNNNNNNNNNNNNNNNNNNNNCGUUUUUUUUUUUUAACUUUUGGACAAUUUUUUUGUGUUCUUCCUUCCCCUUUUCAUCUUUACCAGAACACCAAACUCAUCCACCAGUGUCCAUCCUUCCCCUUUUCUUAUUUGCCGGAACACACAACCGGCUAAACCCAACACACUCCGAUAAUUAUCUUCACUUCACCUUUUUUCUCUCAAUUGUUAAUCAUAAAUGGAUUUUUUUCCACUCAUACACCUUUCUCAUGUCCUUUAAUCUGACACCCAUCAACAUUGUAAUUCUCAUUUCUAUCAAAGUCAUUCUCCUUUACCAAUAUUAAUUCACAUUUGUUGAUAUUAUUUUCAUCUUCUAUGUUGUGAGCUUCUUAGGGUUUGAAUUUCUUAACCAUUUUGAAGAAAUAAUUUCAAAGUGUAUUAGCCUUGCCAGAAAAAUGAAGUUUUUGCCAGAAUUGUUUUUGACGCAAUUUGAUUUUUAUUUUUUGAUAAAAUUUUCUUCUACUCUAAUGAAAAUCUUUAUCAGUGAACUCAUUUGAAAUUUAAUAUUUUAUUGUUGGAUAUUGUAUGAAUUGUUAUAUAAUAUUGAUAUACAAAUGAUAUAAAUUGUGUGAUUUAUAUGAAUUUAUCAAUUUUUAUACAUGUUGUUUGGAUAAAACGUGUAUGAAAUUGACACAUCCCCUUAAGAGACAAUGAAUAUAAGAGUAAUUUUACGAUAUCACUCAUAUUAAUUACUCAAGUCAUUUAAAUGUUGUGGAAUGAAUAGUAUUUAGUAAAAAAGGAGGUAAAAAUUAGACACAAUGAUAUUUUAUCUCUUUGGUUUUCCAUAUUAGAUAAGUAAUAUUGGAUAGAUAUUUUUAAUAUAUUGGAUAAGUAAAGAUGGAUAGAGGUUGUACUAACCUAUUUACGUGUGAUGCUUCACAUCCUGGAAGCAAUUUUUGUUAUACUACAUUCAUAAAUUUAACUUUGAAGGCUUUGUUUGGGUGUUAACAUCAUCAUAUUACACAGAUUAGUAGCAAGGGAAAUAGCAAAUAACUCAAGUUGGUUAAAGGGAUUCUAAUAGCUUAAUCUGUAUUUGUUUGUUACUUUGGAGUUAUUUUAUAUGCCUCUUGAAAAAAUUGGACCGUUAAUAAUAAUCAACCCUUUUCCUAAGUCAACUUUAGAAUUGCUGCUUAUUUAAUCAUAAAAUCAACAAUCAAUCUAGUAAUCAAUAUCUAGAUUACUUUCAUAUACAACGCUGCGUUUACUAAUGAUUUAUGGGGAAUUUCCUUACGCAUUUAAAAAAAAAAAGGAAUUUAAUUACGUUAUCCCACCGUUUCUUGCUGCAAGACGCAAUUUAAUUGUUCAACAUUAGGCACUAUUCAUGACUAUAGAGAUUAAACUAUAAAUCAGUUCAAAGACAUAAAAAGAAUCUUAAGGCGCUAAAACAAAUAUUGCAAAUUAAUACGUCAUAAUAAAAAUGAUUAUAGUUUAAAAAUAUUAAAUCAUGCUAAAAUAAGUUUAAUAAGUAUUAGUUACAUGACUAAAUAUUAAAGGAAAUUAAAAUUAGAUUAUGUAUUUUAAUUGUCUAAACCUAUGUAAAAUUAAAGAACAAAUAUUCAAUAUUAUUGUCAUUCUUAGUGUUGAAUUGAUUUCCUUUUUGCAUUAGUAUUUAUUUGAUUUUGAUUUAAGCUUUAUUUUAAUUACUAACAUCUAUGGACUAUAGUCUUUAUUGGAUCAUUAGGAAUUCUAACUUUCAAACAUGAAAUAAUAUAUUAAAAGAUAAAAACUAUGAAAAAGUAUAAGAAAUAUUUAAAAAUUAUAUCAAAGUAAAUAUUUUUACAUAUAAAAUAAAAUUUUAAAAUUAUAUAUAUAAUGUCGGGUUGGUUUGGUCUCGGGUUGGUUAUUUUUUAGUUGAAACCAAACCAACCCAAAUAUAAUCGGGUUUUUUUUCCAAUACCAAAUCACUAGUCGGAUUUUUUUUUCGGUUUGAUUCGGUUUUCGGUUCGGUUUUGUAGGGGGCAUGCUCACUUUCUUCCCUGAAACCAGGGGCGGCUCGAUAGUGUUAAAAAAAAGACAUGUGCCUUAGGCCCCGAAAUUUAAGGGGGCUCAUUUUUAAUAAUAAUAGGUUAUAAGUUAUUUAUUUUUUUAACAAAUAUUGAAUGCUAUUUGUAGAAAAAGUAAAUUUUCAUGAAAAAUGAAGGAAUUAUUAGAAGAAAUUUGACAAUAUUUGGAGUACUAUAUCUCAUGAUAAAUAAUUUAAAAUAAGAAUGGUUAUAUUAUCAAUUGAAAACUAGAACAAAUCAAUUAUAUAGAAGUUAUUAACAAUUUAAGUUUAAGGUCCCAUUUAAUUUUUGUUUUAGGCCACUAAUGUGCUUGAGCCGGCGCUGCGUGAAACCAAACAUGUUAUGUGUUUUCAGCAGUAGUCAACUGCUUUCAAGGAGUGGUGUGUAGAUAACUUUCAUGUGUUCUUUGGUCAUGGUAUAUGGUGAUUAGAGGAAAAUAUAGGAGAGGUAGUUUGAUAUUUAGAACAGGUAUAUAGCUAUAGCUUCAUCUGUUCAUUUCCCAGAAGAAUAUGGGUAGUCAAUUGUGGUUGCUUUCUCCACCUAAUAGUACUGCAGGCUAAUUUAGAAGAACACACCAGACCGGAAAUCACAUAGUUAAUAAGCUCAUAUCACAUUGUAACUUCAAUCCAGAUACUUGACUUUAAAAUGCCGUUUCUUUGCAAGUUUUUUUUAAUAGAGGGUUUUAUGAAUCGUGAGGAAGGAGAGGCAGAAGAUGAGAGAUAGUAUUUGGUUGAAUUGGGAGUACAACUUCUUUUAUCCUUGUUAAAUCACUUCUUAGGCAGCAAGAGAGUUUUUGUUUAAUUGGAGUUCAGUUUAUUUGAUUCCUUCUCUCGUCCACUAAGAUUUGCCGAAUAGAGUUAAUUGGUACUAUACUAGUAAGAGGUAGUAGGAAUUGGUUGGUUGGUCAAGAUGCACGCAAGUUGAUCAGACAUUGUAAAAAGAGGAAGUGGGUGUGGGUUAUCAUCUAGUAUUCAGCUCUUCGAAGGUUAAAAGGGGAAAAAGAUGAUUAUUAAUGAGUUUCUUCUUAAUUUGUAGAAUGAAACUAGUGAAUCAGAGUUAUUGCUUGCCAUAACCCUAGACUGGAGGGUGCAUAGCAGUUUAGAUUGUGGUAGUAUUGACCACUAAACUAAACCUUAGAGGAGGAGGAGAAUUGAAAAAUAGGCCUUAUGUCACAGUUGUUAGCUUGUGAGCUCAAUAAUACGCACAAGAAGACAGGGUGCAGAUAUACAUUUGGAAUAUCUCGCUAGGAUUCCAGAUUUCAGUUUCAACUGUCACUAGGUUCUAAGCUUCUCUAUACUUGGGGCAUUGGACAUGAAAAAAAAUAAUAUGAUAUUUGAAAGAAAGAAAGAAAAUUUAAAAACGUUUUAGGAAUUGAAUUGUGUUUGAUAAUGCAUUUAACUUGAAAAAAGAUAAUCGUAUUUUUAAAAUUAAAAUAUAUUACAUUAACAAAUAAGUAUAAAUAUUAGAGAUUUAAUUAAUGGUCUUAUAUAUUUAUAAUAUGUUAUAGUUACAAAUCAAAAAGUAGAAACUAGAAAGUAUGAAUAGUAGUUCUCCAAAUAUAAAAAAUGUAAUAGAGAACUACUAUUCAUAUAUCUAUAAAUGGAUAAUAGAAUGAUUGGUGAGUUCAUUCUCUAUUUUACUUUAUAACUAUAAAAAAUAGAGGGUAAAAUAAAGAUAGAUGGGAGACGGUCAAUGUAUGAUCAGAAGUUGUUCAUACAUGUGAUGAGUACUUAUUUACUCCAUAGUUAAUAGUAAAAAAUUGAGGGUCUGCCACCAUUACAUUGUAGCUCAAAAUUAUAUUCGCAUCCAUUUUUUUUAUUCUUGGGAAAAAAGAUUCAUUCUCUUUUUUAUGAUGAACAUUGUUAACUAUGAUCAUUUACUGUAUUUCUUUACGCAAUCAGCAAAAUACGGAAUAUAUUUGAUAGGGAAGGGAAGCAUUGUUUUAUCACCCAAGAAGUUUGUCCUAUACAACAUAUAAGCAGGGAGAAAAGACAUAAAGUCACCACUAAAAUUAUCUCAAAUUUCAAAAAGAUAUUUUAACUUUGUGGGUGUUCUAUUACCCCAUUAAACAAUUUAAGAGUGUUAUAAAUAUUCCACUUUUCACCCAACCUCAAUUGCAAGAAAAGAAGUGCAAUCAAGCAUCAAUUAUUGUUUGCCACAUAUUAAUUUUUUAAAAUUUUAAAUUUUUAGUUUCAUUUUCAUUUUCAAUUUUUCUUCUUCAAUCUCCAUUCCUCUACAUGCCCCAAAUGAAGAGAGGAAGCGUUAAAAUUUUAAAUCCUCUUUCAUUUUCAAUUGAAAAUGAACCUAAAGUAACGGCCAAAAAAUCUCCAUUUUUCUUUUUCAAUUUUAAUCCUCUUUCUUCUUCAACCUUCAUUCCUCUAAAGUAGCAGCCAUUGCCGUCUUCGACGUACUCCAUGAUGCUUCCCUGUUAUAGAGAUAUUUCUGCCAUUAAAUCAUCACUAAAGCAAGGUAAUGAAAUUCUAUAUUCAAACCAAAAAUAAAAAUAAAAAUGGAGUUUCAUAGUACUCUCUAAUCAAUCGAAUAAUGGAGUUCAUGACAUUUAUUUUAUUUUUAUAAAAAAAAAAGAGGAUAAACGAAGUUAGAGAAACAAAGAAAAGCAAGAGAUAAGAAAAAGUGAUAAAAAUAAAUGAAGUAAAUGGAUCUUCUAAGUUCAAGAAGAUAAAGAAAAGGUUAUUGGGUUGUUGAAUUUGGGUGAAGAAGUUAAUAGAAAAGAAUGAAUUGAGAAAGUUAAAAUUAAAAAAAUAGAAGUAAUUAAAGGAAAAUAAUAUUUUUAAUUAAAUAAAUGUUAAAAUAAAUAUUUAUUUAUUUUUUGGCUUGACUCACGCCCCAAAUGGAGAUUGAACCACACUCUCCUGCCACCUAGGCUCAUAAUGGACAAUAAAUUCAUUAUAAAUAAGAAUAAUUGGGUAAUAGAAUCCUCGCAAAGUAGAAGUGUUGUUUUGAAAAUUGGGAACAACUUCAAUAAUAAUUUUAGAAUUUUUCUUUAUUUUGAACUAGGUACAACCAAGUAAACUUGUAUGAGGAUCCACUAACUUUUCGACAUGUGGAUUGUGUGGCCCAAACUGUCAAUUAAGGCUGAAAAUGAAACCAAAAGGAGAGAGAAUGUAAAGUUUGGGUGGAAAUUGGGAGAAAAUUAUGGGGUCUACGUUAAAUUCAAUUAAAUAAAUUAAAAUAUUGUAUUGAACGAUAUACUUUUUCACUUUCAAUAUAAUAUUUUAAUUUAUUUAAUUGAAUUUAACGUGGAUCCCACAUUUUGCCUACAUUUUCCACCCAAACUUUAGGUUCUGUCGUUUAUUUUCAAUUUUUCAGCCUUAACUGAUAGUUUCACCCCUCCCACGAUCCACGUGUCAAAAAAUUAGUGGAUCCUCAUAAUUAGUUGGUUUCACUCAAAAUAUUUCAUAAUUUUAUGUCUUUUCUCGGUAAGCGGGUAAUAAGAGUGUUGUAUACAUUUUUGGAGUUUUGUUGACCUGAGUUUUUUCUGGGAAAGUUGGAUAUGCCAAAAGAGAUUAUCCCUUUUGCUGCUUCAGUGCUGACUGUAGUGUCUAUAAAUAAACCCCAUCCAUUUAUAAACCCCAUCUAGCCAAUUUUUCUUUCAAUGGAGUUCCCAAACUUUGUCAAAAAGUUUAGAGAGAGGAUUGGCCAUUACUUCCCAAGUAGUACUACAGUAGUGUCACCCAACUCCCCUAGUACUGUAGGUUUAUCCCUUGAAUCCUCCGCUAACACGGUGACACAACCAGCUGAGCUACAGCUGGAAUUGGAAGAGAGUAGCCCGGUAGUUGCUGCUGAAACCAAUAAUUUGGAUAGGUCGAUGCUAUUCAUGGCAUUCUGUUUAACAUCAGGGGUUGAGAUAACUCUGUAUUCUCUACAAGCUGGAAACGGCAGCCACUCGCUUCCUUUGUGUUUCCAAUUGUUGUCAUUUGCUAUUUUACUUGCUUUCACUUUACUCUUUGUGGGAAGAUUUAUAAAGGGCAAUUACCCGGCUGAAUCUGAAUUGCUAGAGCGGGCAGGUAUUUUAUUUGCCACUACAGCUUUCUACCUUGUCAUGACAAUGCCCUUUUCUCUAUUUCUCAAAGGUUGCUCUUGGGGCGUCUAUCUCUUCUCCUUGCUUGCUAUUGCUAUCUGCAACCAUUACUAAUGCGCUGCGCUCUAGUCAAUGCAGAGAAAUUAAAUCGUGGUCAUAGUUUUUUGAUAAUAAUGAGGACAGUUUUCUUUGGGUUAUAAAUAAGGUUGUAUAGUUAACCUAUGUGUGUGGGAUAGCUAGUGGUUAUUUAUCUUGUCAUAAGUUAUUUCUUACAUUUAAUUACGAUGUUAGCAAAUAUAUACCAUCUCCCUCGCGUUUUAUAAAAGUUCAGUUUAUCUUCUUUGCUUUUUGGUUAUCAAUUGUAUCAUCGGUGUAAACUCCUUAAAACUAAAACUGGAUAUGAUUCGUCACUUUCAGUACUAAUAUUUUAUUUAUUAUAACUAAAAAAUAUUCAGUCCAAGUUGAUUGGCCUCUUGGUGGGAAUUGGGAUAUUCUUUAAUGGUUCAAAAAGCACAAUUCAAUAUAAAGCAUAGAGAAUUUUUUUAAUGUUUGUUGAAUUCAAUAUAAUUAGUAAGCACAAGAAAGGCAAUAAUAUCAAUAAUAAUAUAUCUAGUAAAAUUUCACAAGUAAAAUGAAAAGAUAGAUUAUACACAAUUUUAUCUUUAUCUAGUAAGGAUAGAGAUGAUGUUUUUCAAUAGCUAUUCAAGUCAAGUAGAAUUCCUUAAAAAAAAAAAUACAGUAAAAAAUAUCAAUAACAACAAGAAUCAAUAUGAAAUUCGAUGGAAAGAAAAAAUCAGUCUCCGAAAAAAAACCCUUUCAUACUUGCACAUAAAUUCUUAUUUAAUACAGUAAAAUAACAUGUGAAAUGCACUUGCUAUACGAGACAAAAUUAAUUCGGUCGGUGUGCAGGAAAAUGUUACUAGUUCAUUUGCAACAAAAUAGCUACAAGUUUGAAUAAAUUGAACAGAAGCAAAUAAUAUUAUUUUCAAAAAGCGUUUAAAUAUAUGUUUUUUUUUUUUAAUAAUGACAUAAAAUUGAAAAUAAUUUUAUAAAAGCUAAAUACGACACACUAUUUCACUUUGGGAUUGACGUUUACAAAAUUAAAUUCAAAAUAGGAUAAGGGAUGUAAAGGCCACCAUAUACUUCCUCGCCGCGGGUAUCCGUAGGUAGCCUUGCUAUGUAUGUUUGAUGUUCACGCUGGCGAGCUUCCCCACGGCUGCUCCGGCGACGUUAACGCCGUCGCCGGCGUCGAACUCAUGCUGCCGCCACCAGCCCCAAUUUCAAACCGUCAAAGUUAGUCCAAAACCCAACAAAUUACGGUCGUUUGCAACUACCUCCGUUCCAAAAUCGGCAGGUUCAAUUUGCACCCCACCACCUGAGGAAGAUUCUAUAACUGCAAAAUCAACUUUGAAGAAUCAGCUCAAGAACCCAUUAACGCUAUCCGAAGAGAUCACGCAACUGUGCGAAUCCAAAAGCUCGUCGGAAGUUUUCCGUACAUUUCAAGAAAACCUCGAAAAGGCCUUCUACCACUCGUCGGAAAAAUCCGAGGCCUUAGGCGUACUCUUACAGGCCUGUGGUAAACAAAAGGACAUUCAAACGGGUCGUAAAGUCCAUGAAAUGGUUACUUCUUUGACCCAAUUAAAAGAUGACGUUAUACUCUGUACGCGGCUCAUCUCAAUGUACUCCAUGUGUGGGUAUCCUUCCGAUUCUCUCUCUGUUUUCCAUCAAUUACGAAGCAAAAAACUGUAUCAAUGGAAUGUUCUUAUGAGUGGGUACACAAAGAAUGAACUUUGGGUUGAUGCUAUUUGUUUGUUUAUUGAGCUGAUGACUUCAACCGAGGAAAGGCCAGACAAUUUUACUUUUCCUUUGGUUAUUAAGGCUUGUGGAGGGGUUCUUGAUGUGGGUUUAGGGGAAGCUAUUCAUGGGAUGGCAUCAAAGAUGGGUUUGGUUAGCGAUGUCUUUGUAAGCAAUGCGUUAAUUUCCAUGUAUGGGAAGUUAAGUCUUGUUGAGGAAGCUAUGAAAGUGUUUGAGCAUAUGCCUGAGAGGAAUUUGGUUUCAAGCAACUCAAUGAUUUCUGGGUUCUCAGCGAAUGGGUAUAUUGAACAAAGUUUUGAUCUUUUCAGAAAUAUAUUUACAGGGGAUGAAGUUCUUGUUCCAGACACGACUACCGUGGUUAUUAUGCUGCCAAUUUGUGCAGCAGCAGAAGAAGUGGAAUUCGGGAAGAUUAUUCAUGGUUUAGCUGUAAAGCUAGGAUUAGCUGACGAGUUAACAGUGAAUAACUCUUUAGUGGAUAUGUAUUGCAAAGUUGGAUACUUUUCUGAUGCACAAAUUCUGUUUGAAGAAAAUGAGAGCAAAAAUGUGGUCUCUUGGAACUCCAUUAUCGGGGGUUAUUCAGGAGAAGGAGAUGAUAGAGGAACAUUUCAUCUUAUGAGAAGGAUGCAAAGUACCGAUGAGUAUGUGAAGGCGAAUGAGGUUACUCUAUUGAAUGUUUUGCCCGUGUGCCUAGAGGAGUCAGAGCAGUUGAUACUGAAAGAACUGCAUGGCUACUCGCUUAGAAAUGGUCUUGAAUACCAUGAGUUGUUAACAAAUGCUUUUAUAGCUGCCUAUGCAAAGUGUGGAUUGCUCAGAUACGCUGAGCUUGUAUUCUAUGGAGUGACGAAUAAGACAGUAAGCUCUUGGAAUGCACUGAUAAGUGGCUAUGCUCGGAAUGAAGAUCCAUCCAAGGCUUUGACUCUGUCCUCUGAAAUGAUGGAUUCUGGCUUGCUUCCUGACUGGUUCACUAUCGGUAGCCUUCUGUUUGCUUGUUCCCACUUAAAACUGCUACAUUGUGGUACAAUAAUUCACGGUUUUGUGCUUAGAAAUGGUCUAGAAGCAGAUAUGUCUACACUAGUUUCCCUAGUUUCAUUCUACAUGACUUGUGGAAAACCAGAGCUAGCACAACAUCUGUUUGACAGGAUAGAAAAUAAAAAUGUGGUAUCCUGGAACGUGAUGAUAGCUGGUUAUUUGCAGAAUGCACUACCAGAUAAAGCAUUUUGUCUGCUUCGUGAUAUGGUAGCUCAUAGAUUUCAACCUGAUGAAAUUUCGGUGACAAGUGUUUUAGGGGCUUGUUCAACAUUGUCUGCUGCCAGGCUGGGGAAAGAAGUUCAUUGCUUUGCACUGAAAUCCAACCUUAUAGAGGAUAGUUUUGUCCAUUGCUCAAUCAUAGACAUGUAUGCAAAAUCUGGAUUUAUAGAAAUGUCCAAGUAUGUUUUUGACCAUAUUCCACUCAAAGAUAUAACAUCAUGGACAGCUAUGAUUACAGGAUAUGCAGUUCAUGGACUUGGAAUGGAGGCCAUCAAGCUAUUUCAGGAAAUGCAAAAAUCGGGCUUCAACCCUGCCAGCUUGACAUAUAUCUCUAUUUUAAUGGCAUGUAACCACGCCGGGCUCAUUGAAGAAGGUCGACAAUAUGUAAAAGAGAUGCAGACAUUGCAUGGUCUAAAACCUGAAUUGGAGCAUUAUGCAUGCGUGAUUGACAUGCUGGCUCGUGCUGGACAGUUUGAUGAUGCCCUAAAUCUCAUGGCUGAGAUGCCUAUGCAGCCAGAUACUCAAAUUUGGUGUUCGUUGCUCAAUUCAUGUAUAGUUCACGCCCAG
rnacentral:lncRNA from 1 species